AAACCUCUUUCAGUAGGGACGAAGCGCAAGUGACGGUACCUACAGAAGAAGCACCGGCCAACUACGUGCCAGCAGCCGCGGUAAUACGUAGGGUGCGAGCGUUGUCCGGAAUUACUGGGCGUAAAGAGCUUGUAGGUGGUUUGUCGCGUUGUUCGUGAAAUCUCACGGCUUAACUGUGAGCGUGCGGGCGAUACGGGCAGACUAGAGUACUGCAGGGGAGACUGGAAUUCCUGGUGUAGCGGUGGAAUGCGCAGAUAUCAGGAGGAACACCGGUGGCGAAGGCGGGUCUCUGGGCAGUAACUGACGCUGAGAAGCGAAAGCGUGGGGAGCGAACAGGAUUAGAUACCCUGGUAGUCCACGCCGUAAACGGUGGGUACUAGGUGUGGGUUUCCUUCCUUGGGAUCCGUGCCGUAGCUAACGCAUUAAGUACCCCGCCUGGGGAGUACGGCCGCAAGGCUAAAACUCAAA
rnacentral:rRNA from 2 species